rnacentral:rRNA from 1 species
GAUUAACGCUGGCGGCGUGCAUAACACAUUCAAGUCGAACGGAAGAGAGUGCUUCGGUACUUUCUUUAGUGGCGGACGGGUGAGUAACGCGUGAGUAAUCUACCUUCCAGUGCGGAAUAACAACCGGAAACAGUUGCUAAUACCGCAUGAAAUGGCAGCAUCGCAUGGUGCAACCAUCAAAGAUUUAUCGCUGGAAGAUGAGCUUGCGUCCGAUUAGAUAGUUGGCGGAGUAACAGCCCACCAAGUCGACGAUCGGUAGCCGGACUGAGGGGUUGAACGGCCACAUUGGAACUGAGAUACGGUCCAGACUCCUACGGGAGGCAGCAGUGGGGAAUAUUGGGCAAUGGGCGAAAGCCUGACCCAGCGACGCCGCGUGAGGGAAGAAGAUCUUCGGAUUGUAAACCUUAGUCAACAGGGAAGAAGAAAGUGACGGUACCUGUGGAGGAAGCCACGGCUAACUACGUGCCAGCCGCCGCCGUAAAAC